CUUUCUUUGUAAAAAAAAAAAAAAAAUCUGAAUUCUAAAUUAUCAAAAAUUAGGGCACUAAAUCUCUACCAUGGAGAAACCUUCCAUGCCCAUGUCCUCUAUCUUCAAUUCCACAGACCACACAGCUCCCCUCGCCCAAGUUAAGCAGGAACAGCAAUCCAUUCGAACACCACCACAGCCUCAGCUCAAAGGCCAACCACAAAAGCUCCCAAUUGUUGCUCUUCAGGUAUCUGACCAACAACAACCUCAAGAGGAUGGACCAAAGGGACCUUAUUUGUUUAACUCUAUUGAAGAACUCAGCAAUCUCUCCACUGUCAUUAGCGAAUUUUAUGGUAGAUAUCAGGAAUUGCAAUGCCACCUUGAUUUCAUCCAGAGGGCCAUUGAUGCCUGCUCCGGUGAUCAGGAACAUCCACAAGUUAUUCAGUCGGCUUCCGAUUCCCCUCCAACAGCGGUGACUGGGAAACAAACAACAGAAAUAGUCACAACAAAUUCCGCACCAGCCAAGUCGGAGCUCUUAAGUCUUUGCGAGAUGAUGUGUGGCAAAGGCCUCCGUAAAUAUCUUACCUCACAUCUAUCCGAUAUCCCGAAGCUUCGAGCUGAAGUUCCUCCUGCACUAAAAUGUGCUCCAAAUCCGGCCAAGCUAGUGCUAGAUUGCAUAGGGCGGUUUUAUCUGCAGGGAAUCCGGGCCUACACCAAGGAUUCUCACAUGACUCCUGGGAGGAAAGCUAGCAUUUUAGUUUUGGAAUUCUUUUUACGAAUAAUUGACAAUGGCAUUGAGUUUGAUUCAGCCCUGAAGCAGGAAGCGGAGCAGGCUGCAGUCGCUUGGAGAAAGAGGCUUGUAGCUGAGGGUGGUGUGGGGAAAUCCAGCGACAUUGAUGCAAGAGGUUUACUUCUUUUAAUCGGUUGUUAUGGGAUCCCAAAGGGUUUUACCAAUGAGGAUAUUUGGGAUUUGAUUCGGUUGAGUAAUUCAAAGCAGAUUGCGGAUGCACUUAGAAGAUCCCCAGUUCUUGUUGCCAGGGUUUCAGGUAUUUUAGAGAGAAUGAUGAACAAUGGAAUGAAAAUUGAAGCUGUUGAUGUAGCUUAUACUUUUGGGAUCGAGGAUAAGUUUCCUCCUCAGAAACUUCUGACUUCAUUCCUUCGAGAUGCUAACGAAGCAUCAAAGAGGAGAAGGAGAGAGGCAAAUAAUUCACCUUACUUGCUGAAGGAAGCAAGUGAGAAGCAGUUGACUGCUCUGAAAUCUGUAAUAAAGCUUCUUGAAGAUCGCAAACUUGAUCCAAUAAAGCUUCUUCCUGGAUGGCAACUUAUAGAAACGAGAGACAAGCUAGAGAAAGAAAUCGCUGACCUCAAUAAAAAGAUAGAAGACAGGGUGACACAAAAAAGAAAAGCAGAUGAGAAUGAGUUCUCAAAUAACUUAAAGAGUCAUGAAAAAAAACGUCUACGAUUUACAGGAUCACCCCUGAUAUCCUCACCAAGAAUUGGGUUGCAUGAACAAAGGGCUACAGGUCAUGUGGAAGGCAGUGGCUUAUAUGGUACUUCCCUACGAAUGAGCGUGUUGGAUGGAGGAUUUUCUGGUCAUAUCAACAAUUCUUCUGUUGCGGGAUCUAUGUUGUAUGGAUCUGGUGUGGGCUCUUUGCCUGAACAUGUCCUUGGCACAGUGGCUGGAGUUGGGAGUGUAAUGCAUGGUAUUGGAGUGGGUCUUGCGCCUGCACAUAGUAUUCCAUCCACCAGUUCAUUUGCUGGAGUUCACAGGGAUAUGCUUGUUGAUAGGACUGGGCAAAAA
rnacentral:misc_RNA from 1 species